CCGGCUUGCACCUUGGGUCGGAGGAAGGCUUUCCGUGAAGCCGGUAGUCGAGGAUGUGCGGCAAGGCGGAGCGGAGCGAGACUUCCCUAAUGAGUCACGUGGGCCGACCUGGGGCCGGGACGGAAAGAGUAGAAGAACUUCUUCCGGGUCACUGUCCAUACUCUCAACCUGGGGCGGGAACGUCUUUACUCUUUCCUGUAACUUUAAAGGCUGCACCGACUUACGGUGCUUGAGAUUUUGGUGAUGAGUUCCCAGAAAGGCAACGUGACUCGGUCCCGGCCUCAGAAGCACCAGAAUACGUUCUCCUUCAAAAAUGACAAGUUUGAUAAGAGUGUUCAGACCAAGAAAAUUAAUGCAAAACUUCAUGAUGGAGUAUGUCAACGCUGCAAAGAAGUUCUUGAAUGGCGUGUAAAAUACAGCAAAUACAAGCCACUGUCAAAGCCUAAGAAAUGUGUUAAAUGUUUACAAAAGACAGUGAAGGACUCUUACCACAUAAUGUGUAGACCAUGUGCCUGUGAACUUGAAGUUUGUGCCAAAUGUGGAAAGAAAGAAGAGAUCAUUAUUCCGUUUAAUAAAGAACCAGAAGCUCCAGAAAACACUGAAAAUGAAGGUUCUAGCCAUAGAAGACGCUGCAGACGGAAGGAAGACAGUGAUGAGGACCUAGAUGCUGAGUCUGACUCGGAUGGCGAGGAUGGAGACACUCAGGCCUGACAGCACCGAGUCAGUUGCAGAGGGAGUCAGAAGAGGCUCAUGAGCAACAUCGGUUAUUUAUAACAUUUGAGUAACAGAAUCUUAAAGGUUUUCACAGUAACACUUACGCUGUAUAUACAGAAUAUGUGUGGGCACACCAUGGCAUGUUGUAUAAAACCUAUAGAAAUUGUUUAGAAAAACAUUAUGUCAAAUUAUUCAGUGUUGAGAGUUGGUGAUUGUAUCAGCACUAUUUCAUGGAAAACUAAGAUGACUAGCUCAGCGUACAUGUCUUUAACCUGACUUCGGGUAUGUGGCUCCUUAGCAAAAGCCCCCUUACAUCGUACAAAGCAAAACAUUAUUUUUACACACACUACACACACGUACAAUCAUGUGUAAUGAUUUUCCUUCAAAUAUGUUUUUAUAUGCUUCAUUCCACUUUUUUAACCUUUUCCUAGUUUGGAAAUAUAUACUUAGAAAAAUGUGUCGACUGUAUAGUUACUCUCUAGAAAGGAAAACCCGACCUUCAUACUGGAGUGGAGAGACUUGCAGUAUCAGAAGCUCCUGUGAUGUUCUCCCUCGAAAGCUUAUCCUUCCCAGGAUUCCAUCCUCCGGAAUUAUCAUCUUAUUGCCAGUGUUUUCACCUGUAAACAGUACUCUCUUGCAGCUAGAGGUAGAUAGCCAUGUGAGGGGAAUCUGGGAAAGAAGUUUCAAGAAACCGAAAACAGUUUGGCUCUUCCUGCCUGAGUAUGGUGUGAGAAGACAGGACUUGAACCUGGAGCCAUUGUGAGGAAAUGCAUUGAGCUGCAGAGACGGUGUCCCAGUUCCAUGGUGUUGAGCUGCUAACCGUGAGAAUCUUGGGCUCACAACCUCCUAGUUCCUUUGAGGACUCUGGGAUGUGCCGAUUCUGGGAGAUCUAUCAGACUGUAUCCUCUGUACUUCAGCAAGUUUCCUCGUUGCCUUUCUUUGCAUCUGGGAGUCUUCUAGAGAGUGUACUAGAGGCAAUUCUGAAUGUCACUGAAUUCCAAUUCUGAAUGGCAACAUUCUUUCUGAA